rnacentral:rRNA from 1 species
CAGCCGCCGCGGUAAUACGUAGGUCCCGAGCGUUGUCCGGAUUUAUUGGGCGUAAAGCGAGCGCAGGCGGUUAGAUAAGUCUGAAGUUAAAGGCUGUGGCUUAACCAUAGUACGCUCUGGAAACUGUUUAACUUGAGUGCAAGAGGGGAGAGUGGAAUUCCAUGUGUAGCGGUGAAAUGCGUAGAUAUAUGGAGGAACACCGGUGGCGAAAGCGGCUCUCUGGCUUGUAACUGACGCUGAGGCUCGAAAGCGUGGGGAGCAAACAGGAUUAGAUACCCCCGUAGUCCCUGUCUCUUAUACA